CAGCCUUCAGAUAAAGAUGUAGAACUCUCAGCUCCUCCUGCACCAUGCUGCUGCCUGCCUGGAUGCUGCCCUGCUCCCACCCUGGUGAUAAUAGACUGAACCUCUGAACCCAAACCUACAAGCAAUGGGUUCUCCUGAUCUUGGACUGAAACUUGGCCCAGCAAGAAGAUUCAACAAGUAAAGGUGCUUGCCUCCAAGCUAACAUUCUGAGCUCAAUUCCCAGAGCCUACAUGGUGUAAGGAGAGAACAGUCUUCUGAAAAUUGUCAUCUGAACAUACCCCUCCUCCCAAAUUAAAAAAAAAAUAGAAAAUCUAAUUCUGAAAAGAUAUAUAGUAACAGACGAAAGUCAGAAGAAAUGUUCCCUAGCAGACAUCAGUGGACAGAAGCAAGCAAGUUUUGGGUGCCCAGACGAGACUAUAGACAGUUUGAGGCUCAACAAGAAAUAUGAACAAUCAUGAAAAAGAAUGUCGGAAGUUUGUGGUGUCAUCAAAGGCCACAGACGGCGAAGAGAAAAGGGGGCAGAAAGAAUAGGUGAAGAGAGAAUUGCUGACAAAACAGAAACGUUCACGUUCAAGGAGCCCGACAAAGUUCAAGUGAGAAAACCUCAAAGAUUCAGAGGUGCUGCACGUGUCCCAUAGCCAGCAACAGUGUUGGAAGGUAAAGAUAAAGACUCGUGCUGGAUUCUGAGGUAGAGUUGCACACCUUCAGUUCCAGCACAAGAAGGUAGUCUUGUGAGUUCAGGACUAGUCCGGUCUAUUCACAUGAAUGCCUGUGAUGAACCCAUGGCAUACACAUUCAUACUGGUGUACACACGAGUGUGAGGGGUGCUUGGACAUGUGUUCCCAUAUGUGUGGAGGCCAGAGGUGAACCUCAGAUGUCAUUUCUCUGGUGCCUUCCACUUCUUUUUUGAGACAAGAUGUCCUACUUGCCUCAACCCAGUGGAAAGUCCAAGACUUCUCCAGUCUUUCCCUCUCUGGCACUGAGAUCGUAAGUAGGACACCAAACUUGGCUUUUUACAUGGGCCUUGGAGCACUCCACCCACUGAGC
ensembl:lncRNA